rnacentral:rRNA from 1 species
UACGUAGGGUGCAAGCGUUAAUCGGAAUUACUGGGCGUAAAGCGUGCGCAGGCGGUUGUGCAAGACCGAUGUGAAAUCCCCGGGCUUAACCUGGGAAUGGCAUUGGUGACUGCACGGCUAGAGUGUGUCAGAGGGGGGUAGAAUUCCACGUGUAGCAGUGAAAUGCGUAGAGAUGUGGAGGAAUACCGAUGGCGAGGGCAGCCCCCUGGGAUAACACUGACGCUCAUGCACGAAAGCGUGGGGAGCAAACAGG